rnacentral:rRNA from 1 species
GUCUUUUUGUAUUAAAUUAAAAGUCUAACCUGCUCAAUGAUAAAUUAAAUAGCCGCAGUAUUUUGACUGUGCAAAGGUAGCAUAAUCAAUAGUUUCUUAAUUAGGAACUGGAAUGAAGGGUUGAAUAAAAAAAAAUCUGUCUUAAUUUAAUUUUAAGAAAUUUAUUUUUAAGUAAAAAAGCUUAAAUAAUUUUUAUAGACGAGAAGACCCUAUAGAGUUUUAUUUUAUGAUUUAUUAAGUUUUUAGAAUAGGAGAAUAAAUUAUAAAAUUUUAUUGGGGUGAUAGAAAAAUUUAAUAAACUUUUUUUAAAAAUUUACAUAAAUUUAUGAUUAUUUGAUCCAUAAAAAUGAUAAAAGAUUAAAUUACCUUAGGGAUAACAGCGUAAUUAUUUUUGAGAGUUCUUAUUAAUAAAAUAGAUUGCGACCUCGAUGUUGGAUUAAAAUUUAUAAUUGGUGAAGAAGCUAAUUAAUUAAGUCUGUUCGACUUUUAAAAUUUUACA